GGUGACCUUUAGCAGAGCUGGGCUGGAGGUUGUCAUCCAAACAAAUGAGAGCUGACCUGGAACGUCUUUUUAACUCAGCAUCUCAUGUCCCGAGCCUCUGAAAGCGGCUGCAAGAGCAGCCAAGCCAAAGGAGCCGGGUCCCUUGUAUGCUGCAGCCAAGAGUGCAAAUGGGGCCUUGCCAUCUUCCUUUGCUUCUCCAGCGUCCUCCCUGAUGCCUUCUCGGGGCAGCACAUACAGGUCUGAACUUGGAGGGCCGCAACUUGAUCCGCUCUUGUCCACAUUUGGUGUAUAAACAUCUCUGUAGACUGUUUUCAAGAGACUACUCUCAGAUCUUCCUUCACACUGAGGUGUUGACGACUGGUUACUCUCUAACACAGCUAUUCUCAUCAGACUGUGAGCGUCAAUGGUGGGCCCAUCAGGUGAUUUUGCCUGGGAUUGGAAGGUGAGAGCUCUUCCAGACAGCAGAGAAGGUCCAGCAUGGCGUGAGGAGCAGUGCAUAGGUCCAUGCCCGGGAUCUGAACCUGUGAACCCCAGGCCAUAGAAUUGGAGCACGCGAACUUAACUAACUACGCCACCAGGUCAUCUCCAGAGGGGAAAUGACUCCGAGGGCCACUCAUCUUUCAUUGGCUGUGUGGUUGGAAUCCUGUCAAUCUCAGACCAAUGUUUGUGGAAAGGUCAGAUGCCCCUCUCAAGGCAAUGGAGUCUUUUUGAAAUGGCGAUUUGGAGUUGGUUUCUGGACUCCCUGUGGUCUCUGAUUUCACACGGAGCUGCCAGUUGUGAAUGGUGCCUCCUGGAGCUAUGCAGUGUACAACCUAUACAACUAUAUGUUGUGGUCCUGUUUCAGGGAGCUUACGUGGGUAGAAAAAGAGAAUGGCAGAGUGCAAAUACUUGGAGUUUCUUCCCCAACAUUGGCCUUGCCUUUGCUCUUACUGGGUCCCUCUCUGCUCUAGUCCAAUGAAGAGGGCUGAGGGCACUCAAUGUGCCACUGCCAUUGUGCUGUUCAAAAACAUCCCACCUAUGAUACUGACUGCUGGGUUUGCAAGCAUCAUGCACAAAGGAAACAACAAUACAACUGCAGACUUGCUCUACACCUAUGUGCUCAGGAAAAUGCUCCCAUAUCCCCACACAGGAAGCACCAGAACCUCAUGGUAGCCAGAGAAGGCAUGUCCUGCACACCCCCAGCUGAGCCUGAACCACCAGCUUCCACAGCUUAGUACCACAACACCCAGGCCUUCAAGAACCCUUUCUCUCCUCUCCUCUUUCACGGUCUCCUCAGGGUUUUCCUAUGCUUCUGCCCUCUCUGUAGAAUGCUGGCUCCAUCAUGGAGCUCACUCAGUUUCUUGAGGUCCCUGAGGAGGUUUUGAGUCUUUCAGAGAGAAACAUCUAUAAGGUAAUAGCCUUUCUUUUGUUAAUAUCAGUUAUAUCUUACCAAAGAACCUUACUAUGGACUGAAUGCGUAUGUCUCCCCCAAAUUCAUAUGUUGAAACUCUAAUCCCCAAUGUGAGGGUAUUUGGAGGUGGGGCCUUUGGAAGGUAAUUAGCGUUAGUUUAGGUCAUGAGGGUGGGCCUUUCUGAUGGGAUUGCCCUUAUCAAAAGAGGAAGAGAUGUGAGGUCCAUCUCUCUCUCCCUGCCAUGUGAAGAUACAGGGAGGAGGUGGCAGUCUAUAAACCAGGAGGCAGGCCCUUACCAAGAACCAACCAUGCUGGCACCCUGACCUUGGACUUCCAGUCUCCAGAACUGUGAGAAAUAAAUAUUUGUUGCUCAAGCCACCCAGUCUAUGGUAUUUUGUUAUAGGGGCCUAAGCCAACUGAGACAACUCUUUCCAAGAGGACUGAGGAAGAAGGAAAAUUCCAUUCUAACCUGGAACUUCUUUCUUCUUUUGACCUGAAUCUGCCUCCUGGCAGGUUUAGGCUCUAGUGUUAGCCUUGAGGAACAACACAUAUGUGACCCACGCCUCCCUUACUUUUAGCCUUCACCUACCGAAGCUCAUUGUCGUGGUUCUCUUCAGUAUUUUCUUCUGCAACCUGAAUUCCCUCAUUCCUCUUCUGUAUGGCCUCAUUUCCAGAUGCUUCAUCACCAUAGUUAGCCUGACCCUCAGCGACCAAAUUGAUGUGCCUUACAAAACCCAUGACCCAGAAGUGACCAUUCACCCAGACGUGGUUACAUGCGAGCAGUGAUUUCAUUUUCAUGUGCAUGUUAGAAUUUUAUUCAACAUCAAGUAGUUAGGGAGAGAAUAAAGUGUUUCAAGGACUGACCAUUUAAAAAUAGACUGGACUGGUACAUAGGCAAAAGAAAAGACUAGACUUGAGCUAUUACUCUAUGGGACAUGUUUUUAAAUCACUCACAUGGCUUUGAAAUAUUGGUAAUAUCUAUUAGAAGAUUUGAUCAGUCUUAUGUGAACUUGGAAGGCCCUUUCUCCAUGUUGGGUCUCAACAACCUCAUCAGAAAAUGGGUGUUGAUUUGAUGACAUCUAAGCUUUUCAUGAUUUGUCCUUCUUUCUUAGGCGCCCAAGUGUUACCCAAUCCUGAAGUGCAACCUCCCAGCUCCGCUGCCCACAGACACACAGUUGGAGCUGCACAACCAGGUUCUCCUCCAUCUCUGCCUGGAGUGAGGAACGUGGUAUGACAGUGGGGUAGGUGGAGGAAGGCGGGAGGCUAAUCCUCUGAGUUCAGCACUAAGAGAGACAGGACCAAGGUCCAUUCUUAGUUUCCUCAUAUGAGCCAGGCUACGCUGGAAUUCAGGGGCAGAGGAAAAUGUCCUUUUCCCCACUUCUCUUCUCACACAUCUGUGAGAAGGCAGGAGACACUCUUUACAGAUGAUGGUCUCCCUUCUGCAUGUGCUCCUGUUGGGGCAUCUCUCUCUUCUCCCCAGUGAUACCUAUUCACAAUGGCUUAUACACGAGGAGAGAGAGGAUCUCCAGCAGUGUAAGAAAUGGGGGGCCUGACCGUGCCACAGAGACAUGCUUGUGGCCAAGUGCCCAGGGGAGCUGAGUCUCAAUUUUAGCUUUCUCCUCCAUCCUGGCCCCUCCACCCCAGAGUGACCCAGAAUUUCCACUUUAUAGAGAGUGAAUUACUUUAGUCAGUUCUCACAAGACCAAAUCUUACCACUUAAACACGACUCCAGAAGGAGAGAGGCAUUGCCUGGCUUUUCACAGCUUCCCCCUCAAUGGUCUCUGACCCUGAGGUGUUCUGUGUUCACUGAGCUGAUUUUUGCUUCAGAGUUCCGGCUUCUCUUUGAUACUUCCUCAGCCAGCCCUGGGCCCUCCCUUCUUCCCUCCAUGUCUUCAAUCUCCAGGUCGCAGAGCCUUUACGAAAUCUGCUCCGGUCUAAUCUAAUCUCCAACAACAGCCUUCUUGGCUGCUUUCUCUCUCUGAUGAACCUGAUUUAUCUUGAUGUGUUGACCUUUGGGCUGCUGACGCCACGCUGACCUCUUUGGGGAGCUUAGCUUUUGUAGUGCUCGGGAACCUGUCUCUGAGGGCUGUAUCAGCCUGUUCCUCAUCACAUUUGAGCCUGUUUUUGUAAAAAGGACCUGGGAGGGCAGCCCACACGGCUCUAAAGCUGUGAACAUCUCUCCUUUCUCAGGAGGUCUUUCUUCCCCUCCCCCUCCUGCCCGGGGCCAGAGGGGGCUGGGAACCUCAACCACCAUCAGAGCAGUUAGAGAACGGUCCUUUAGACACCGGAAACCCUGACAAAAGGGACAAAACGUUAUCUAUUAUAUCAUGUUUAUUAUGAUCAUGUCUUACCAUAUCUGCACUAGUUUGUUAGGGCUGCCAUAACAAAGUACUGCUGAUCGGAUGGCUUAAACACCCCGAAUUUAUCUGCUCACAGUUCUGGAGGCAGGAAGUCAAAGAUCAAGGUGUCAGCAGGUUUGCUAUCUUCUGAGCCCUGUUUCCUUGGCUUGCAGGUGAACGCCUUGUUGCUGCCUCUUUAUGUGGUCACCCCUCUGUGCACAUACUCCUGGUAUCACCAAAUCUCCCCUUCUUGUAAGGACACCUGUCAGCCUGGAUUUGGGCCCACCCUAACCACCUUAAUUACCUCUUUAAAGACCCUAUUUCCAAAUAGAGCCACAUUAUGAGGUACGGGGGGCUGGGCCUUCAAAAUAUGAAUUUGAGGGAACACAAUUCAGCCCCUAACAAUAUUUUUCCCCAAUCCAAUCAUCGACUUGCACUAAGGUCACAGCAAAAAGAACUGUCUCAAACUGUAGCAUGGGAGAUGUCAGCUAGAUGUAAGAAAGGAUCAGGCAUAUAUUAAACUGAGAUCGUGGGGUGGAACCUCAAUGGGGGGUGAGGAAGAAGGAGCAGAGAUGAAGGCAAGCAUGCUAGAAAAUAUAUAUUCCCAUCCUUUUGGGACAUUUUCUAGAAUUAGGAGGUUAAACAAAAUGAUUUUUCAGUCUCACCCUUAAUUCAUUCAGUCAAUCAUUCAUUUAGCAAACAUUCACCGAGCCCUCACCACGUGCUAGACACUAGGAAUCCAGAAGUAAACCAGUGAAGGUUCUUACCCCCAGGAGGACUUAUGCAUGUUGACAUCUAAACCCUGGGCGGGAGGGCAGGAGCAGCCAAAAGAAGUGUUAAGGAUACUUUGAUGCUUGAAUGUUAGUGAAGCCACAGACCUCAGGCCAGGGUCAGCCCAGGCGUGUGCAUUUCCUUGCUGGCACUCAGCAGUCCCCACACUCAGGACAUGACCCUUUAUGUGACACAAACUUCCAUAAAUUGUAACUUCCCCAGGUUUGGGACAUCUGAAAGCUCUCGCACCUUGAGCCAGUCCAAGAAAAGCUGGAGACAUUUCUAAACCCUACACUUGGGGCAGUGGGAUGGGAGUAGGGUGUGGCUGGCACCACAGUGAAGUCACAUAGCCACAAGCCAUGAGGUUUGGGAUCCAGUGGGCCCUGACUCUGACCCCACUGCAGCUGCUGUGAGGCAGGCAGGCAUUCCCAAACCAGACACCACUUCCUCUUCCCAUCCCCCUGCCUCGAGGCUCAGUCAAAUCCUCCUUGGGGAACCCACCAGAUGACCCUGGGAUCUGCUUGUGAGCGUGUGGCAGCUGGAGGCAGAGAAAGGGCUGCCAGUUCCAGAUGCUUCCACCUAGAAGGUGCCAGACGCCUCCAUCUGGAAGGUAAGCCUGCCAUCUAGUGUCCAAGCCUGGGAGGCGCAGAGGCAAACAAGCUUUCCUUGUGCUGUUGGCCGCGCUCAGCCUGCGGCGCGUUCUUGGACCACCUUCCACGAGGCGAAACCACUCUGCUUUCAGAGGGGAUUUGAUUUUUUAAGAAACAGCUAAGAGUCAUUCUAAGCCAAACGAUUAUUGAUGGGAAUACAAAGAGAUAACACAGAUUUUCCUCUGUGGUUUGAAAGUGUCUAAAGGCAGGUGACUAUUUUGAAGAAUACGUAUAUUUUCAAUCAUUGUCUUGAGGGGAUUAAAAGUCUCAUCAUUUUAAAGCCAACAAUGUAAACCACGGAAUCCUUCUACAGUACAUUUCUAUACAGAAUUUAAAACACAUCUUCCCCCAGAAAUUAUUGUUGGCGCCGCUUUUUCCACGCAGGCCCGUCUUUCAUGAGAAAGGAGAAGGUCCAUUCGAUUAACUAGGCUGCUGAGUAAGGAGCUGACCCCACAGCCCGAUGGAAUCCAGUCACCCUCAAGUCCUGGUCCCUCAGAGCUGAGGAUUAAACGCAGAAAUUGGGCCCUACCUGUGAGACCACUUGUCAUGGGGCUUUCUUCAGAAGACUUCAGAUUCGGGAAAGGGCUAAUGGAGGGACGUGAGGCAGGAGACCAGCUCUGUUCCUGUAUCUCAAAGAAGGUGUGGAGCCCAGUUCCAAGCAGGGAGUGGCGAAGAGCCUGAAGUCUGAGGACAAAGAGGGAGGCGCCAGAAAGUCAAAGCAUCAGAGACUCAGAUAUGUGGUCCCUGGGCUCAGUGAUCCAAUGGCCGCUACUUCCCUGGAGAGGGAAGAGAGACUGAGCGUGACUGGGGUGCAGGAGGCUAAAGAGAGCCCUCUCCAAACCAGCAAGGCCAGGCCCUGGAGGCGAGGCCUCAGGCCUCAGGUCUUGAGUGACCUUGAGCUCCCGGUGUCCUGGGAAAAGGCCUCUCCUGCAACUCCUAGAGCUCCCCUUUCCUGGAGCAAAGGGCAGAUCCCCUCUCCUAGGGUACUUGCUGACUUCAGCAUUAUCUGAACAUAAAGGGGCACUUCAGCUGGAACAAGUCUGGAAUUUAGGCCUGACCAGCAGGUGGUCAGGAAGGUGAACUAACCUUUUUUAAUACGGUACAGGCCUAGGAAAACAGGACCCUUCACUCGGCCCUGAGCACUUGGUGAUUCCAUUAUUCCCUUGAUCAGCAGUAUCCUGGAGCUGGAAGAGCCCCAGCUAAUAAAUACA
ensembl:lncRNA